CUUCAACAUGUCUUCCUUGCGUGUUCUAAGCCUGGCCAUCAAUGCGUUGUCCGGGGCUUUAGCUAUGCCGGGAGGACCGAGCAACACAAGUUUCAGUCUGCCUGCUGUGGAGUUUUUUUCGGUCGCUCGAAACCGAUUCAGCGGCCCGAUUCCAUCCGAGUUGGCUGCUUGCCGGCACCUCCAAAGGCUCUCCCUGUCCGAGAAUUCGUUCCAGGGCGUCGUCCCUGCAUGGCUCGGCGAGCUGACGGCUGUCCAAGUCAUCUGCCUGUACGAGAAUCACUUGGAUGCAGCUCCAAUCCCUUCUGCACUCAGCAACCUCACCAUGCUACGUGAGCUAGACCUCCAUGUUCAUCGGACAGCUACUCCAGCUUUCAGUGCUGAUUCUUUACGACAACCUACUGACUGGACAUGUUGGAUGGACCGUUGCCUAUGAGAUAGGUGACAUGAACUCGCUGAGGGGACUUUCAAUCGCUGAAAACUAUCUGCGCGGGGAUCUCGGAUUCCUGUCUAUUCUUUCCAACUGCAGGAUGCUUUCAACCCUCGAAUUCCACACGAAUCAUUUCGCAGGGACCCUCGUCCCGGACCACGUUGGGAACCUCUCUAGCAAUAUGCGACUAUUCGCUGCAUAUGACAACAUGAUAGCCGGUGGUCUUCCAGCUACUAUCUCGAACUUGACUGAUCUUGAGAUUCUACAUCUCGCAGGAAACCAGCUUCAGAACCCAGUCCCAGAG
rnacentral:misc_RNA from 1 species